rnacentral:lncRNA from 1 species
UUUUUAAUUAUUCUACUACCCCCCCACCAAGAUAUAAAGCUCACUAACCAUUAAACUUGUCAGUUAUUACAUACAAAACACUCAAAAUGGAAAAUAUAAUAUGGGCUUCACAAAACGUGACUGGAAAGGCAGAUAAUGGAGGUGUAGGAGAGUUAAAACUAAGGCAGAUGAGAUUGGAAUGAUUAUUAAUGGUAAUUUC